rnacentral:rRNA from 1 species
UACGGGGGGGGUAAGCGUUGUUCGGAAUUACUGGGCGUAAAGCGCGUGUAGGCGGCUCGGAAAGUCGGGUGUGAAAGCCCUGGGCUUAACCCAGGAAGUGCACUCGAAACUUCCGAGUUGGAGUCCUGGAGAGGAAGGCGGAAUUCUCGGUGUAGAGGUGAAAUUCGUAGAUAUCGAGAGGAACACCGGUGGCGAAGGCGGCCUUCUGGACAGUGACUGACGCUGAGACGCGAAAGCGUGGGGAGCAAACAGG